rnacentral:misc_RNA from 1 species
UCCCGCUUAUCACGGGCAGUUUCCCUAGAGUGCCCACCAUUACGUGCUGGCAACAUGAGACGAGGGUUGCGCUCGUUGCGGGACUUAACCCAACAUCUCACGACACGAGCUGACGACAGCCAUGCACCACCUGCACACAGGCCACAAGGGAACCGAUAUCUCUACCGGCGUCCUGUGCAUGUCAAACCCAGGUAAGGUUCUUCGCGUUGCAUCGAAUUAAUCCACAUGCUCCGCCGCUUGUGCGGGCCCCCGUCAAUUUCUUUGAGUUUUAGCCUUGCGGCCGUACUCCCCAGGCGGGGAACUUAAUGCGUUAGCUUCGGCACGGACGGAGUCGACACCGCCCACACCUAGUUCCCAUCGUUUACGGCGUGGACUAC